rnacentral:lncRNA from 1 species
GCCCGCCGGUCGCAGAGCUGUCAGCAAGCUCCAAACCGCGGCUGCCGCCCGGAGGGAAGCAGACGGGGAGUCGGUGGCGGCCGCCGAGUCCGCAUGCGCAGGCUGCAAAGGCCCUUUUGGGCCGGUCCCGCCGCGCUAGGUUGGCGAGUGGGACUAUUUGAUCCUUUCCAGGUUCGCCAGCGUGGUGUUACGAGAGGAAAGCGCAGCCGCAGCGUACGAAUGGGAAGGCCAAACACGGUCCCGGGGAGUCUGAGGGAAGCUGCAGGGCGCCUGGAAUUGGGGUCUCGAGUGAGCCGGUAAAAACCGCCUCCCGCUGAGCGUCCCGGAACAAAUACUGUCUGAACUGAGCCGUAAGCAAGAAACGGUCAGGAGAAGCUGGGGCGAUCUGAUGAUUAGAACAUUUCAGGGACUACCAGAGAGAAGUGCGUAAUUGCUCUAAGGCAGGAAACAUUUCUAGGCUGGGCGCAGUGGCUCACACCUGUAAUGCUAGCGCUUUGGGAAGCCAAGAUGGGAGGAUUAUUUGAGGCCGGGAGUUUGCGACCAGCCUGAGCAACAUAGCAGGAUCCUGUCUCUGCAAAAAAAUUUAAAACUAGCCAGGUGCGGUGGCUCGUGCCUGUUGCCCUAGCUACUCAGGGAGACUGAGGCAGAGGAUUGCUUCAACCCAGGAGUUUGAGGUUGCAGUGAGCUAAGAUCAUGUCACUGCACUCCAGACUGAGCAACAGAGUGACACUUUAUAAAAAAAAAAAAAAAAAAAACUAGGUUUUUGAACUUGCUUAAUCAAAGAAUUUGUUUAAACUUUUAAGAUGCGUUGUCAGAUUAUCUUUCCCUAAAGGAAUAAUUUCUAUUCCUAUCAGCUGUUUAUAUUCCUGCCUAGUCACCAUCACUAGAUAUAAUUGAUUUUCAGUUUUUGCCAAUCUGAGGAACAAAAAAUGACCCUUAUAUGUCAAAUUUACAGUUUAUUUUCAAGGAUUUUGGGAUUCUGAUCAAAUUUUGGUACCUUCAUAUAAAAUUUGGCUUUUAUAUCACAUCUUGUCUUCUCUGCUUUCCACC